GUAUAUUUUGCUGCUUGUUCAUCGUCCAUUUCAAUAUAUAAAACCUCAAAUUUUUUGUGAUUUGUCUCGGUUUGUUUUGGUGUUUAGGUUGUUUGAUCAAGACUAAUCAGACAGGUUCUUCACACAAAAGACCUACGAGUCUUCAUAGAGGUUCACGGGUUUUUGGUUGUGAGACAAUGUGAGACAAUGUCUGGUCACGGUCUAAAGCAAAAGACAGAGGUCACGGGUCUAAAAGACAGAGGUUAUGUGUUGGCUUUGGAGUCUUGUAAUCACAUUUCAUUGUGUUGGCUUUGGAGUCUUGUGUUUGCUUUGGAGUUUUGUAUAUUGUUGUUGUCUUUGUAUAGUGUUCACGGGUCUUUGGAGUCUUGUAAAUGACAUUAUAGUGAGCGAGUGUUGAUGUUCUUAUAUAUCCAUAACAUUAUGAUCACAAGCCAUUGCAAUCUCACUUUCUUUUGUUCACAAGCCAUUCUCUUUAUCUUCAAUCUCACAUUCUCACUAUCUUUAAUCUCACAUCUUCUCUCAUUCUUCUCUCCAUUCUCACUAUCUUUAAUCAAAAAAUUACCAAAAAUCCAUAUUGUAAACAAGAUUCUAAAACCAACCUCUCAUGGCUUCUUCUUCUCAUCACAAUUUGGAGGGGUCCCUUGAUGAAAUUUUUGAUCAAUAUUUUGAUCAAACUUUCUAUCAAACAUUUGACAAUUUGUUCAAUGUUUAUGGUGAUCAAGAAGAUGAAAGGAUGACAAGAAAAAAAAGAGUUUUUAUCGAACGAAACCGUGAAGAAGACCAUUUCCGGUUAUGGAAUGAAUAUUUCAGUGACACUCCCACAUAUCCUGAAAAUCUAUUCAGACAACGAUUUAGAAUGAACAAGUCAUUGUUCAUGCGUAUUGUUGAUCGCCUCUCCAAUGAAGUUCAAUUCUUUCGUCAAAAGCAAGACAUUACCGGAAGACUUUGGCUAUCUGCACUUCAAAAGUGUAUAGCAGCUAUUCGUGUGUUGGCAUAUGGUUCUGCGUUUGAUGCGGUCGACGAAUACCUCCAGCUCGGUGCAACCACUGCUCGGUUAUGUGUGAAAAAUUUUGUGGAAGCAUUAAUAAAUUUGUUCGGCGAUGAGUACCUAAAAAACCAACACCCGCUGAUCUUCAGCGUCUACUUCAUAUUGGAGAGCUUCGUGGAUUUCCCGGGAUAAUAGGAAGCAUCGAUUGUAUGCAUUGGGAGUGGAAGAAUUGUCUCACCGCUUGGAAAUGCCAAUAUUCUCGUGGUUCGGGAAAACCCACAAUCGUUUUAGAGGCGGUUGCUUUAUAUGAUCUCUUGAUAUGGCAUGCGUUUUUUGGACUUCGAGGUACCUUAAUUGAUAUUAAUGUUCUUGAUCGCUCACAUGUUUUUGAUGGCAUAAUAAAUGGUCGAGCCCCGCAAGUAAAUUUCUCGGUCAACGAAAGAGAGUACCAUUUGGCUUACUAUCUCACUGAUGGUAUUUAUCCAAAAUUGGCAACUUUUAUCCAAUCAGUUCUAAUUCCCCAAGGGCCGAAAGCAGUUUUAUUUGCGCAACGUCAAGAAGCUGUCUGAAAAGAUGUCGAGCGUGCUUUCGGAGUUUUACAAUUUUGAUUUGCCAUUGUUAAAAAUCCGGCACUUUCUUGGGAUAAAGUCAAGAUUGAGAAGAUUAUGAGAGCAUGCAUCAUACUCCAUAAUAUGAUAAUUGAAGACGAACGAGAUGAAUACACUCAAUAUGAUAUCUUAGAUUUUCAACAAGGAGAAGGGAGCGGAAGUUCACAUGUCGAUCCCACCUAUUCUACAGAUAUCCCUACUAAUAUCGCCAAUCAGAUGGGUGUUCGAACAAGAUUUUGUGAUAGACAAGCGCAUAAACAACUGAAAGGUGAUUUGGUUGAACAUAUAUGGCGUAAAUUCGGAAGUGAUCAGGACAACAACUGAGUUUCGAUGCCUCUUUGAAAUUAUUAUCAUUUAUUUUACUAAUAUUUGUUUUUUUGUUUUCAUGUUUCUAUUUUAAAAUUAAUGUUUAAAAUGUUAUGUUUGACUUUGUUUUAUUUAAUAAAUAAAUUUAAUCUUUGUAUAAAA